CAUUUUGUAGAUAUUUUAUAGGGCUGGUUAUGUUCUUUUGUGCUUUAGAGUAACCCAAUGUUUUCAAUGUGUUUAAAACAGGACUCUGUAACACUGUGUGACAAUGUAACACCUGCUGGAGUCAACCAAGCUGAAGCAGCCAUUCCUUCCAACUCGACUGUUCCCUCAGCCUCCAUGGACACUUUCGACCCAAAUGUUCCCUCUGCCUCCAUGGACACUUUUGACCCAACUGUUCCCUCAGCCUCCAUGGACACUUUCGACCCAACUGUUCCCUCUGCCUCCAUGGACACUUUCGACCCAACCGUUCCCUCUGCCUCCAUGGACACUUUCGACCCAACCAAUCCCUCUGCCUCCAUGGACACUUUCGACCCAACUGUUCCCUCUGCCUCCAUGGACACUUUCGACCCAACUGUUCCCUCUGCCUCCAUGGACCCUUUCGACCCAACCGUUCCCUCUGCCUCCGUCGACACUUUCGACCCAACUGUCCCCUCUGCCUCCGUUGACACUUUCGACCCAACCGUUCCCUCUGCCUCCGUGGACACUUUCGACCCAACCAUUCCCUCUGCCUCCGUGGACACUUUCGACCCAACUGUUCCCUUUGAAUCUAUGCACUCUCCGGCCUCCGCCUCCACCUACACCUCUACCUCGACCAGCACAGCAGUGAGUGAUACUAGGCAUGACUUGAGGAGGCUGCUCCAAGGUCUACAGUCAGCUGUUGAUCUGGUUGAGUCUGGACCCAUAGCAAACUGCAUAAAUGUAGUAAGGUCCAGGGUGCUACAAUGUGCUUUGAGGACCUUCAACAGACGAGCAUUCAAUCCACAUAAACAACUCGAUAUCGUAUUUGUGGAUUCGUGCGGAAUAGGGGAGGGAUCUGUUGAUACUGGUGGUCCUACCCGGGAGUUUCUCAGGCUACUGAUGAAAGAACUCCUGGAUUCAAGAUACUUUGUUGGACCCGAGAACGGCAAGAGCCUUGCUCUUGAUUCCCUUGGUAGGUACAUUUUCUUUUAAAUAUAUAUAUUAAAAAAGAUUGAUUGAUUAUUUGAUAGACUGAUUGAUAGAUAGAACCAGUACAUACAAUUUCAUAGAUAGAUAUCCAAAUAGAAAGUACAAUAGGUAAGUAGAUAGAAAAAGGUUCCAAAGAGUGCAAAAACAGCCAUUUAUAUCAAAAUACUUAUACAUUAAAAAAAAAAAAUCUAGCUGAUACUACACUGUAACACACAAUUUAUUCCUGUGAUAGCACAGCAGAAAUUAAAACUGCCAUUACUUAAAUCUUCAUUGUCACAUGAGUUUUCAGACCGCUUUCAAAUAUGCUUGUUCACCAUACUUCUAACAUUUGUGGUGUUGCAACUAGCUGGUGUAAAAAUAAUGACAGUGUCGUGUUGCGUCUGUCGUCAUGAAAUGAUGAAUGAUCAUUGUUACCAAUCAAAAUGAGUGUUUAUUUAUAUUCUGUGUGUGUGUGUGUGUGUGUGUGUGUGUGUGUUUUUUUACAUGGUCCCUUACCUUUCAUUUGUCCUAUUUCCAUUUAACAAAACUCAUUUACAUUUAUGCAUUUGUCAGAUGGAAAGUUAUGUGUUCCCUCGGAUCGAAGCCACAAUCGCAUGAUCACAUCAUUGCAUAUCACGG
ensembl:lncRNA